rnacentral:tRNA from 1 species
GGGGCCUUAGCUCAAUUGGGAGAGCGAUGCCUUUGCAAGGCAUAGGUUGCCGGUUCGAUCCCGGUAGGCUCCA